rnacentral:sRNA from 1 species
UACCUUGGUUUGUGAUUCUGCAGGUUAUAUUCUACCUUGGUUUGUGAGUUCUGCAGGUUAUAUUCUACCUUGAUUUGAGAGUUCUGCAGGUUAUAUUCUACCUUGAUUUGUGAGUUCUGCAGGUUAGAUUCUACCUUGGUUAGUGAGUUCUGCAGGUUAUAUUCUACCUUGGUUUGUGAGUUCUGCAGGUUAUAAUCUACCUUGGUUAGUGAGUUCUGCAGGUUAUAUUCUACCUUGGUUUGUGAUUCUGCAGGUUAUAUUCUACCUUGAUUUGUGAGUUCUGCAGGUUAUAUUCUACCUUGAUUUGUGAGUUCUGCAGGUUAUAUUCUACCUUGAUUUGUGAGUUCUGCAGGUUAUAUUCUACCUUGGUUUGUGAUUCUGCAGGUUAUAUUCUACCUUGAUUUGUGAGUUCUGCAGGUUAUAUUCUACCUUGAUUUGUGAUUGUGAAGGUUAUAUUCUACCUUGGUUAGUGAGUUCUGCAGGUUAUAUUCUACCUUGGUUUGAGAGUUCUGCUGGUUAUAUUCUACCUUGGUUAGUGAGUUCUGCAGGUUAUAUUCUACCUUGGUUUGUGAUUCUGCAGGUUAUAUUCUACCUUGCUUUGU